GAUCAUGGCUCAGGAUGAACGCUAGCUACAGGCUUAACACAUGCAAGUCGAGGGGAAACGACAUCGAAAGCUUGCUUUGAUGGGCGUCGACCGGCGCACGGGUGAGUAACGCGUAUCCAACCUGCCCAUCACUUGGGAAUAACCUUGCGAAAGUAAGACUAAUGCCCAAUGAUAUCCCACGAAGGCAAUCCGAAUGGGAUUAAAGAGUUUAUCGGUGAUGGAUUGGGGAUGGCGU
rnacentral:rRNA from 1 species